rnacentral:rRNA from 1 species
CCUUUGUACACACCGCCCGUCGCUACUACCGAUUGAAUGGCUUAGUGAGGCUUCCGGAUUGAUUAGUUGGAGAGGGAGACUUUUCUGACUGAACGAGAAGCUAGUCAAACUUGGUCAUUUAGAGG